AAGACAUGGACCCCAAACCAGGUGCACAAUGCUGUCAAAGCAUACACAGAGGCUGCUACCCCAACUCUACAGAAAGAACAACAGGAGCUGCAAAACCCCACACAACCCAUUGGUAUGGCAAUCCAUAAUCCCUGCAUUUCAAAUCUUACUAUGUCUAUCCCAGCAUCUUUAACAGGGCCCAGAUGUUAUGUUGAUGCAUCCACGUUGCCGGAUCAGAAUCACCCCUUCAUUCGACUUGCAGGUAUUGGAAUCUUUUUUAUUGAUGUGCAGGUGCAGCCUCCGAUCAAAAUACUUGUUAAGGCGCGUGUCGAACAAGUCUCUUCUGUCCUCAUGGCGGAAGCAGCGACUGCUGCUCUAGCAGCUCAACUCUUGCAUCUCCUCCAAGCACAAAAUUCUUACAUUCUUUCAGAUUGCUAGCAGCUGGUCCUAUUCCUAAAUCAGGAAUCUGUCGCCCACCCCCCGG
rnacentral:lncRNA from 1 species